CCUACGGGAGGCUGCAGUGGGGAAUAUUGGGCAAUGGGCGCAAGCCUGACCCAGCAACGCCGCGUGAAGGAAGAAGGCUUUCGGGUUGUAAACUUCUUUUCUCAGGGACGAAGAAAGUGACGGUACAUGAGGAAUAAGCCACGGCUAACUACGUGCCAGCAGCCGGGGUAAUACGUAGGUGGAAAGCGGUAACCGGAGUUAUUGGGUGUAAAGGGCGUGUUGGCGGGAGGUCAAGUCAGAUGUGAAAGCUCAGGGCUAAACCCUGAGCCGGAAUUGGAAACUGUGUUUCUUGGGUGCUGGAGAGGCAAUCGGAAUUCCGGGUGUAGCGGUGAAAUGCGUAGAUAUACGGAGGAACACCAGUGGCGAAGGCGGAUUGCUGGACAGUAACUGACGCUGAGGCGCGAAAGCGUGGGGAGCAAACAGGAUUAGAUACCCCGUAGUC
rnacentral:rRNA from 1 species